UUCAGUGAAGCACAGGGUAUACCCGUCGGGCAGAUAAUGUUUCGCGUACACGAACAAUCGGCGAAGUCGAUGUAGGCCAAAUCGAUUUCACGUACGUAAACAAUCGGCAAAAGUUAAUGUAGGCAAAAUAGAUUUCGCGAACACGAAUAAUCAAUUAGGGGCAGGUGUUUCGCGUGCAUGAAUCGAUUAGGGCUGCAUGCAUGAAUAAUCAGGGUGUAGGCCGGGCGCGUGCAAGCGCAAGGACUUGCGCUUACACGACUUUUUGGGGCAAAUAGUGGUGGGGCCGCGAAAACGAGGAGG